AGAGCGAACGCUGGCGGCAGGCCUAACACAUGCAAGUCGAGCGGCCGUAGCAAUACGGCAGCGGCAGACGGGAGAGUAACACGUGGGAACGCGCCCUUCGGUUCGGAAUAACUCAGGGAAACUUGAGCUAAUACCGGAUACGCCCUUACGGGGAAAGAUUUAUUGCCGAAGGAACGGCCCGCGUCCGAUUAGCUAGUUGGUGAGGUAAUGGCUCACCAAGGCGACGAUCGGUAGCUGGUCUGAGAGGAUGACCAGCCUCACUGGGACUGAGACACGGCCCAGACUCCUACGGGAGGCAGCAGUGGGGAAUAUUGGACAAUGGGCGCAAGCCUGAUCCAGCCAUGCCGCGUGGAUGAUGAAGGCCUUAGGGUUGUAAAGUCCUUUAACGGGGAAGAUAAUGACGGUACCCGUAGAAUAAGCCCGGCUAACUUCGUGCCAGCAGCCGC
rnacentral:rRNA from 1 species